rnacentral:rRNA from 1 species
UACGUAGGGGGCAAGCGUUGUCCGGAAUCAUUGGGCGUAAAGCGCGUGUAGGCGGCUAGAUAAGUCUGCUCUGAAAACCCGGGGCUCAACCCCGGGAGGCGGGUGGAUACUGUCUAGCUCGAGUCCGGAAGAGGAGUGUGGAAUUCCUGGUGUAGCGGUGAAAUGUGCAGAUAUCAGGAGGAACACCAAUGGCGAAGGCAGCACUCUGGGACGUGACUGACGCUGAGACGCGAAAGCGUGGGGAGCAAACAGG